CGAUGUAUAAAGCUGAUAGCAUGAAAGCAGCAAUUGCAAAUUGGUUGAUGCAUUAUUAGCAUUUUGCUUGCGGGUAUUUAAAAUGUUUGAUUCAGUGAUAUAUUAAAAUUUUAAUCAUUAGUUAAAAGUUUGGUUUAUGUAUUUUUAAUGGUUUAGUGGUUUAAUGUUUUUUUUUUGUCUAUACUCUAUAGCCUUUUUCAGCAUUUGAAAGGUUAAUCAAGGAUUGUAACCUAACGGAUGAUUGUUUGCAUAUUUCGAACUAUUUUUUUUAGUUUUGUUUCUCA
rnacentral:lncRNA from 1 species